GUGUUGAUCAGUGGCUGUCCAGACCUUUCAGAGCCACUCACACACCAGCAGCACAAUGAUGAUGUCACUGACUCUACUGCUGGCCACCCUGGGGCUCCUUGUUCAGGGUUCAUCAGCAGAAAUCAUCCUGACUCAGACUCCUAAAGCUCAGUCUGUUGUUCCUGGACAGACUGUCUCUAUCAGAUGUAAAUCCAGUACAACUAUCGGUGAUGACAUUAACUGGUACCUUCAGAAAUCUGGAAAAGCUCCUAAACUCCUGAUAGCUGAUACUACAUAUCAUCAGUCUGGAGUUCCAGAUCGCCUUCGGGCAACAAACCUAACAACUGACUUCACUCUGAUCAUCAGUGAAGUUCAGGCUGAAGAUGCAGGAGUUUAUUACUGUCAGCAGGUCAACAGCUACCCGCUCACACAGUGA